UCGACUCUGUCGAAUAAAGUUCUAGUUAAGUUAUGAUAAUGACAUUUCUUAACUAUGUGUCUUGACCAAAUCACGUGCCAGCAGUCGCGGUAAUACGUGGAAGACUAGUGUUAUUCAUCUUUAACAGGUUUAAAGGGUACCUAGACGGUAAAUCAAGCCCCAAGGGGACUAAUUUACUAGAGUUUAAUAAGAGAGGGGGAGUACUGAUGAGUGGAGCGAUUAAAUUUUAUGAUACCAUUAGGAACAGACAAAGGCGAAAGCGACCUUUUACAUAAAACUGACGUUGAGGGACGAAGGCUUUAGUAGUGAACAGGAUUAGAUACCCAAGUAAUUAAAGCAGACAAUGAUGAAUGUCAUAGAUUAGUACUUUUAUUAAUCUAUAAAUGAAAGUGUAAGCAUUCCACCUCAAGAGUAAUGUGGCAACGCAGAAACUGAAAUCAUUAGACCGUUUCUGAAACCAGUAGUGAAGUAUGUUGUUUAAUUAGAUAAUCCGCAAAAGACCUCACCACAAUUUGUAUAUUAUUUUUAUAAUAAUACAAGCGUUGCACGGCUGUCUUCAGUUAAUGUCGUGAGAUUAGGUUAGUUCCAUUAAAUUAACGUAAACCCUUGCUUUAUUUAUAUUAUAAAGUAGAUCACCGCUAUAUUGGAUGUGAUAAUAGGGACUAAGACAAGUCAUCAUGG
rnacentral:rRNA from 2 species